ensembl:miRNA MIR711 microRNA 711
ACUGACUUUGAGUCUCUCCUCAGGGUGCUACGGGCAAAGCCGGGGACCCGGGGAGAGACGUAAGUGAAGGGAGAUG